CCGCUAACCUCCAUAUGACCCCUAACCUCCAUAUGACCCCUAACCUCCAUAUGACCCCUAACCUCCAUAUGACCCCUAACCUCCAUAUGACCCUGUUAUCAAUGUUAGUAGUGAUGAUUAAUCUAAAGCUGACCAGGUUUCAAGAGAAAAACUUCUGCCAACAAACUCUGGGCUUUGGCUGAGUUCAGUUCUGUUCAGUCCAGUGUGGCUUCAGUACAGCUGCCCUGUGUAGGGGGGAGGGGGACAGAGGUGUCUAGUCCCUAUGGUGGAGGGAGGAUGGAGGGCAGAGGGGACAGAGGUGUGUCUAGUCCCUACGGUGGAGGGAGGAUGGAGGGCAGAGGGGACAGAGGUGUGUCUAGUCCCUACGGUGGAGGGAGGAUGGAGGGCAGAGGGGACAGAGGUGUGUCUAGUCCCUGGAGGGGAGGAUGGAGGGCAGAGGGGACAGAGGUGUGUCUAGUCCCUACAGUGGAGGGAGGGGGAUGGAGGGCAGAGGGAACAGAGGUGUGUCUAGUCCCUACGGUGGAGGGAGGAUGGAGGGCAGAGGGGACAGAGGUGUGUCUAGUCCCUACAGUGGAGGGAGGAUGGAGGGCAGAGGGGACAGAGGUGUGUCUAGUCCCUACGGUGGAGGGAGGAUGGAGGGCAGAGGGGACAGAGGUGUGUCUAGUCCCUACAGUGGAGGGAGGAUGGAGGGCAGAGGGGACAGAGGUGUGUCUAGUCCCUACGGUGGAGGGAGGAUGGAGGGCAGAGGGGACAGAGGUGUGUCUAGUCCCUACAGUGGAGGGAGGAUGGAGGGCAGAGGGGACAGAGGGGUGUCUAGUCCCUACGGUGGAGGGAGGAUGGAGGGCAGAGGGAACAGAGGUGUGUCUAGUCCCUACGGUGGAGGGAGGAUGGAGGGCAGAGGGAACAGAGGUGUGUCUAGUCCCUACAGUGGAGGGAGGAUGGGAUGGAGGGCAGAGAGAACAGAGGUGUGUCUAGUCCCUACAGUGGAGGGAGGAUGGAGGGCAGAGGGAACAGAGGUGUGUCUAGUCCCUACAGUGGAGGGAGGAUGGAGGGCAGAGGGGACAGAGGUGUGUCUAGUCCCUACGGUGGAGGGAGGAUGGAGGGCAGAGGGAACAGAGGAGUGUCUAGUCCCUACAGUGGAAGGAGGAUGGGAUGGAGGGCAGAAGCCGGGAAGUGGUUCCUCCCCGUCAGGCUUUCCCUUCCCAGGCGUCGUCUCUCUGUUUAGCUGCCAGACGCUUCUGCUCUGAAAGACAGACAGACAGGUUGAUAAGAGAGUAAAUCAAUACUACUACUAGCUGUCAAUACAAUCAUAAAGACAAAGACUAGUUCCACUUGAAAGGAGCAACAUGUAAUAUAUCAGCCUUCAUUUCUUCAGGGUUUUGUGAAAGACACUAAGAGAAGUCCUGAAAGGCCCAGUACUGCCUCUGACCGUAUCACUGUCCAGAACACAUCUGUAGAAAGGACAUGAAGAAACGCAUUGCUAAUGUUUUU
ensembl:lncRNA